rnacentral:sRNA from 1 species
GUGUUUCAGGCGGCCCGCUCCUCCUCCCAAGGGACGUCUGUAGGAACGGCGGCGCUCCUCCUCCCAGUCGCUGUUCGGUUUUCUUGAGAAAGCCUGCCGCACCUCCUCCCGCGGCAGGCUUUUUUU